UACGUAGGGUGCGAGCGUUAAUCGGAAUUACUGGGCGUAAAGCGUGCGCAGGCGGUUGUGCAAGACGGAUGUGAAAUCCCUGGGCUUAACCUAGGAAUUGCAUUCGUGACUGCACAGCUAGAGUGUGUCAGAGGGGGGUAGAAUUCCACGUGUAGCAGUGAAAUGCGUAGAGAUGUGGAGGAAUACCGAUGGCGAAGGCAGCCCCCUGGGAUAACACUGACGCUCAUGCACGAAAGCGUGGGGAGCAAACAG
rnacentral:rRNA from 1 species